rnacentral:rRNA from 1 species
UACGUAGGUGGCAAGCGUUGUCCGGAUUUACUGGGCGUAAAGAGCGCGCAGGCGGUCGUUUAAGUCGAAUGUGAAAGCCCCCGGCUCAACUGGGGAGGGUCAUUCGAUACUGUUCGACUCGAAGGCAGGAGAGGGAAGUGGAAUUCCCGGUGUAGUGGUGAAAUGCGUAGAUAUCGGGAGGAACACCAGUGGCGAAGGCGGCUUCCUGGCCCAAUACUGACACUCAGGUGCGACAGCGUGGGGAGCAAACAGG